UACGGGAGGCAGCAGUGGGGAAUAUUGCACAAUGGGCGAAAGCCUGAUGCAGCCAUGCCGCGUGUAUGAAGAAGGCCUUAGGGUUGUAAAGUACUUUCAUCGGGGAGGAAAAAACAAAACUAAUAAUUUUAUUUCUUGACGUUACCCGAAAAAGAAGCACCGGCUAACUCCGUGCCAGCAGCCGCGGUAAUACGGAGGGUGCUAGCGUUAAUCAGAAUUACUGGGCGUAAAGAGCACGUAGGUGGUUUUUUUAAGUCAGAUGUGAAAUCCCUGGGCUUAACCUAGGAACUGCAUUUUGAAACUGAAAUACUAGAGUAUCGUAGAGGGAGGUAGAAUUCUAGGUGUAGCGGUGAAAUGCGUAGAUAUCUGGAGGAAUACCUGUGGCGAAAGCGGCCUCCUAAACGAAUACUGACACUGAGGGUGCGAAAGCGUGGGGAGCAAACAGGGAUUAGAUACC
rnacentral:rRNA from 1 species